rnacentral:lncRNA from 1 species
GGGCACUGCCGAGGCCCGUGGGCGGGAAGCCGGGCGGCGGGCGGGACGUGGCCUCGGUCCCGGCCCUGCCCCGCCGCCACUGAGACUCCCAACGCCACCAACGUCGGAGUUGCAGUUUCUUUAGCUGUCAUAUGCAGACAAGUACUACCCACCUCGCCUUUGGAGUGAGCAGCACCACUGUGCCCAUCCCACUAUGAUUCAGGAGUCUCGCAGAAGACAUCAGAACACCUUUCUCUGAGUCACAGUCUGUAUCUUCUAGAAAAGGCUGUCCAUCUUCACCCCAAGCCCACUGGCUCCUGAGAUAAGACAUCCAGACCCAGUGCAGCUGGACCUGGCCCAGGAAGAUCAUGCGGUUUCUGGGAAGCACUGGAGAAGGAAAAGGCUGAAGAAAGGAAGACCGGAAAAGAAAUACAAGUCCUUCCGCCUUGGCAAAGAUGAUAGUACCGUUCCCUUCAGUGUUCUGGUUCUGCUCUAUUGGAUAAGUUCCGGUUUGACUAUGACUACGUGAAAAUGUGGAACCAGACCUUCACCCCACAUUCCAGCUCCAGCUCUACCACAGAGGAAGUGCAAUAUCACCUUCGUUAUUCAACACAGUAUGCUCCUCGUGAUACAACCAGAGUUCACAUCAGCAAUCUUGGCAGCUCUCACCACGCUGCUGACUCACGACUCUCUCAUGUCCCAAUUUCCUGUCCAUUGUUCUUUCCUCUACUUGGCCUGAUUUCUAAAGGCCUCUCUUGGUUGCAUUAAGCGGGAUUCCUGAGGGAUUCCCUUGGCAGUUACCUUGGGGGAGCUCUUAGGUUUGGGGCUGAUCCAUGUCCUCUAAAUGUAGGACUUCAAAGCUCCCAAAGAUAGGCAGACCCAGUGGGAAGCUGGGAAAUGCUCUCUGACCCCUCUGGGAGAGCUGGCAGUCAGAGGGCCUUUUGGAAAGAGUCAGACCUGAUCCAUAAGUCCCUGGAAAACACCCUGCCCAGGGAGCAAAUGCCACUGUGGCCUUGACUGAGGCUUCAGAAGAGUUUGGGAGCUGCAAUUCAUCCACACACGCAUUCAUUUUCAAGUAGUGGUUUGCAGUUCAGGCUUUGGAGCCACAUAAGCCUGGCUUCAAAGCCACUUUCCAGCUUUGUGACUUUAGGAAGUCUCUACAUUUUUAAACCUCCAUUUUUUUUCCUGUAAAACUGGGGUCUUCAUGGUACUUACUUCAUUGUGAUGUUGAGAGAAUGAAAAGAAAAAGGAUAAAUAAAUGGCUUAGCCUCGUGCCUUGGCACAUA